GGAGGGAUGGCCGAGCGGUCGAAGGCGGCGGUCUUGAAAACCGCUGAGCGCAAGCUCCGGGGGUUCGAAUCCCUCUCCCUCCG
rnacentral:tRNA from 1 species